CUGAGUUGCCUAUGAAGUUGGAGUCAGUGUUCUGUGGGAGAUAAAAGUUCCCUGAGUUCCCCCCAAGCUUCAGUCUAGGAGAAAUGGACAAGAUCCUGACAGCAUUGUUUUUACUCCUAGGCCUUCACUUAGCUGGGGUGAGUGGCCAGCAGAAGGAGCAACGUGACCAGCAGCAGGUGAGACAAAGUCCCCAAUCUCUGACAGUCCGGGAAGGAGAAAACAUAGUUCUGAACUGCAGUUAUGAGGACAGCACUUUUAACUACUUCCCAUGGUACCGGCAGUACCAUGGUACUGGGGAAGGCCCUGCAUUCCUGAUAGCCAUACGAUCAGUGUCCAAUCAAAAGGAAGAUGGACGAUUCACAGUCUUCUUCAGUAAAAGUGAGAAACAGCUCUCCUUGCACAUCACAGACUCUCAGCCUGGAGACUCAGCCACCUACUUCUGUGCAGCAAGUGCACAGUGCUCUCCAGGCACCUGCAGCCUAUACCCAAACCUGCAGCUGAGGCUCCAGCAAAGCCCUGCUGUGGGCUGAGCCUGACAGAGAUGCAGGGGAAGUUUCAUUUGCAGGAUUAGGUGAAGGGGUCACUCAGUGAGUGUAAGGAUUAGACCAUUGGGCCAGAGACAGACGAAGCUGAAGACA